rnacentral:lncRNA from 1 species
AACACCUUUUCUGCUUUUAUUUUCAGUUUCUAGAUUUUGUUUUUUUCUGAGUCUUACUUUCUCACUGAAACUUUUGUUUCCUCAUGAUAAGGUACCCUGUUGUCACCUCCCCUUCCCCUCCUCCCCCUCCAGAGCACAGCUCACUGGCCGCUUCAAGCCUUGUGCUGGCUUACUUUGUUUGUAGGGGCUAUUAUAAAAGCUAAUUCUUCAAAAUUAAAAAUUUAAAUUAGGAAGUGUUGUAUUCCAGCCCAACAAAAUGCAUGUCUAUAACCCCAGCCUCUAGGAGGCAAGGCUAACUGGGGCCCAAGGAUUGCCAGGAAUUGACAGCCAGCCCGAGCUACAUAACAAGAUGGAAAGAAAACACUGUUGAUAUUUUAAUCUGAUACAUUGUUUGGAGGAGUAUUUAUAUGAACAUGUAUCUGUGAUUAGUAGUUAUUUUAUUGUCUAUGAUACAGAAUAUCUAAGCCCCAUGUUUACUUAAUGAGCCGGCUCUUACUUUCUUAUCUCGGCAGACAACCCUGUUGUUAAGUGAUUUUUCUGACAGUCAAGCUCAAGAUUCUCUGUCUGAAUAGUUGGAAAAUAUUCUUCUAAGCGUGUGAAAUUGCUAUCUUGGGGGGAAAUAACCACAUGUUAGCAACUUAUGAGAACACUUAAGUUACAUAAGCUCUUCACCAAGUCUGUGUUUGAUUUUCAAGCUUUUAUAAGCUGACAUACUGUCACAGUGUCAAAGGAACAGUCAAUAAAUACCAUUUAGAGGUGAUAAUCUCCCAGGGUGAUGUGCACUCCAUUUCUGCUAACUACAGAGUUUUAUCCUCAAAAAACAAAAAACAAAAACAAAAACAAAAACAAAAAACCAUGUUAUACAGUCAACACAUUUUCUAUAAGUUCUCAUCUAAGAUUUUCUUUAUACUUACAGUUUUGGUUAUGGGAAAGGUAUAGAAAUAUAAACACACAGAUAAGAAUAUGAAACUCCUAACCAGGAAAUUCCCGGCUUUAUGGUCCAAAUAGGUAUAAAACUAGGUUGUUUCAAACUCAGACUAAUUUGUCCCAUAUUGCUGUAAGUAACUAAGAUUGUUCCUAGAAAUCACUACUCAGCACCCAUUAUACUCUUGGCGUUGCUCUGGGUGUCUUAGUUUUUGAUGGAUUCUUGUGUUAGACAAAGGUACUUCAAUUUCAGUAGAGACUUGGUACACUUCUUCCUCAGUGAUGCCCUAAGUGAGCCCUAAUUUAUCUGAUAUGAUCCCCAAAUGCUCACCCUGAAACCUUUCUAGUUUUCUACUCAUCCCAGCCGCUUCAAGCAAUAGGAAGAAGCAAAUUCAGAAAAUUCAUAUUAAAUUGUCAUUGACUAUAGUCUUAUUGUCUUGCUGAAAGAGAACCAAUCAUAUAAACAUUGACAGCUCCGCUCAGUGACAGGAAAUUUACAGGUGAAUACUGUCCACGCUUGCUCAAAAAAACACUUUCCCUGUUUUCUGUUGACAAUUUUUCAAGGAAUUUGGAGGUAGGAAAACCACUCCUUUUUCAUUAUUCUGAAACUUAUUUUUAAAUAACUGGUACUUGGCAAUUUAGUUUUUAAAACACCAUUCUGAAUUAAAUUGCUGAGGUGACUAAAUUCUAAAACUAACCUCGUUUUAUCAUACAGACAUCUAGUUAGAAAGUGUUUGUGGUGAAGACUUGUAUCUUGUGGCAUUAGUUCUUCAUGUUUCUUCUCCAUACGUCGGCUAAAGCAGUUCAUUUCCAGCUGAGUGGAAAGUUGCUGUGGUUGGUCUGUGUGGGCAAGCACACCCAGUUACAGCACGAGCAGUAACUUCAUGGUAGCUGGCUGUGCUUUGCACUCUGCUGUUGUAGAUUUAUUCUGUUUACAGUAGACUGAUGUCAGUUUUGUAAAUGUUUUUCUUAGCACUUUAACUGUGAGUGUAAAAACUGAUUUUAAAUGUAGUGGUUGUAUAUUUUGGUUAUAAAUUGGAAAUUUUUAAUAAAACUAAAUAACUUGUUCCCUUGUC